ensembl:misc_RNA Metazoa_SRP Metazoan signal recognition particle RNA
GCCGGGCGUGGUGGUGCACGCCUGUAAUCCCAGCUACUCGGGAGGCUGAGGCAGGAGAAUCGCUUGAACCCGGUAGGCAGAGGUUGCAGUGAGCCGAGAUCACACCACUGCGCUGCAGCCUGGGUGACAGAGUGAGACUCUGUCUCAA